AAAGGGGUGCCUUUAGGCUGAGAUUAUACCCUAUGAACCUGAAACGGUUAGUACCGUCGUAGGAAUUGUUGAUAUACU
rnacentral:ncRNA from 1 species